GGUAAAUGAUGGAAGGCAUGACAUUGAUCAGGAUACAUUGUACUCAUAAAUUGACACAAUAAAUUGAAAUCCUUUUGUAUGACUACUUAAAGAUAAUUUGUUUAAAAAGAAAACAAACUGUUGGUAAGCUGAGUGUGGUGGCACAUGCCUAUAUCCCAGCAUUUGGGCAUGAGGAAAGAAGGUAAUCUAAGCCCAGGAGUUUAAGACCAGCCACAGCAACACAAUCAAUCACAUUGUCUAUAAUGAAUACAGAUUGUAGCAGAAUAGCAAAAUUUUAUUUUAGAUACUUAAUAACGAAUGAAUAUGGAGUUACUGGGGAAAAGGUGGGCUUUUCAAAGUUAUCAUGCCUGUUUAGCUGUUUAAAGUUAAGCUUUGUAUUAAAAUGUACCGGUAUUUCAAAAUAAAAAUAUGCCUUUUAUUGUACAGAACAUUUCAUGACCUUUGUAGCAUCUUUGUAUAUGAUUUUUUUAGUAAUGCAAUAAAUGGAAAGAAUUCUAAAACCCUUG